AUGCCCGUCUGGGCUGCUCGGGGCAGUCCCGAAGUCACGGGAAUAGCUGGGAAUGUUUCUUAGCAAACAAAUGCUCCCAAAGGCACCCAGGUUCAGCAAAAAGAAGAGGAUUUCCUCAGGCUUGAAGUCCUCUCCUUUGCACCCAGAGAAGAUCACAAUGGCAGAACACACAGAAGGUGCAUGGGCUAAAAGAGAAGACGCAGCCCUCACCCUAAACAACCUGCAACUUUAUUCAGCAAGUAAAGGGAUGGAGGAGGAAUAGCAAGACAGAAGAUACUUCACCUGACCAAAAGACGAGAGCGGUACUGUCACAAACCAACCAUUCUGCCAGCAGUUAAGUUUUUAACUACUGAAAUUUCGUAGCGUGGAACACAGAAGACUACAUACACUUGCCUGCAAAUCAAGAGCCUCAGCCCCAUCCCUUCAGCUGAGGACCGAAGACUUUUGACACAGCAUUGCAUUUAAGCUUCUCAGGAAAUAAAACUACAAAUUACAUACUUGUUAAAUUGUAGUCAUGCUUACAGCGACCUACUUUUUAAGGUGAAAACAAAAUCCUGUAGACAGUGAAGUCAAACAGGUGUAUCUUCCAGAUGCUUACGUCAUUGCCCUUGUACGAGUAGGGAGAGAUGCACAUACUACGCUUCAGAACAAUUUGGAUUUAUAUAGUACAGCAGUGACUUUGCUUCUGUAUUCUUAAAUAGCCCGCUCUCAUAGGGUGGUGUUUCUGGAAAACACAAGUGGAAUCUGUGCCAGCUUCCAAUCUCAUCUGAAACACCUGAAGCAGUAAGGGAAGGAGACUGACAGCUACUUCUGGCAUUCGUAAUCUCCGGACUGCCUGGCUGAUGAAGGAGAACAUGGGCUCCCCAGCAGGCUGAGUAGCACCUUUCCUUUUUUCCUAUUCAUGGUGUAAAAUAAAUACCAAGUAAUGCAAGCAUCUAAUUAUUUUAUGAUAAAAUUAAGUAACCCAGUUGGAGCUGUGAAGAGCCCUCUUUUCCUCUGUAAGCUUAGGUGCAGGACUUUACCAGCCUCUAGACCUCUGCAGUUACAGCAAAUAAACGUACAUUUAUUUUCAGAA